rnacentral:lncRNA from 1 species
GGCGAAGUCGCGGCUAGUUCUUGUUAGUCGUCUCCUUACGACGUUGUCGUUUCUGAUUGGCCGCUCAAGAUCCCGCCUGCUGUGAUAUGUUUCUUUUCCCCACAGCGCCUAUGAGCGAGAGUGCAGACAAGCGGAACCGCCUAGGUUUCUCGUACGUGUGCUGGAAGAGACCGAAACCGUCAGCUCCCGAUGAGCCCCCUCGGAAAGUAGGACGCCGUACUGUGCCGCGCUGCGGUGGCCGCCUCUCUCCCCUCAGCGGGAAAUUUUUCUCGGAUGUCCGAGCAUCGUUCCUGCAGGUGUUGCAGUUAAUCUACUGCUGGGUUAGCAAGAUCCCUUUUACCACUGUCUAC